CGGGACGAGUGAGGGAGUUCGAGCGGAGUAGCCGACUUUGGCGAGAGGCACAAGGCUUCCGCUGGGGCCGACGUCGACGGUCGGACUGAGAGGCCUGAAAGUCGCAAGUACUGGACUGGAAGGCGACCCCCAGUCACCUGAUCCGGACAAUACCGGCGAAGGGAACCCGUCUCGUAGGUCG
rnacentral:ncRNA from 1 species